AUUGAACGCUGGCGGCAGGCCUAACACAUGCAAGUCGAGCGGAUGACGGGAGCUUGCUCCUUGAUUCAGCGGCGGACGGGUGAGUAAUGCCUAGGAAUCUGCCUGGUAGUGGGGGACAACGUUUCGAAAGGAACGCUAAUACCGCAUACGUCCUACGGGAGAAAGUGGGGGAUCUUCGGACCUCACGCUAUCAGAUGAGCCUAGGUCGGAUUAGCUAGUUGGUGAGGUAAAGGCUCACCAAGGCGACGAUCCGUAACUGGUCUGAGAGGAUGAUCAGUCACAAUGGAAAUGAGACACGGUCCAGACUCCUACGGGAGGCAGCAGUGGGGAAUAUUGGACAAUGGGCGAAAGCCUGAUCCAGCCAUGCCGCGUGUGUGAAGAAGGUCUUCGGAUUGUAAAGCACUUUAAGUUGGGAGGAAGGGCAGUAAGUUAAUACCUUGCUGUUUUGACGUUACCAACAGAAUAAGCACCGGCUAACUUCGUGCCAGCCGCCGCCGUAAUAC
rnacentral:rRNA from 1 species